rnacentral:rRNA from 1 species
UCAACUUGAGAGUUUGAUCCUGGCUCAGGACGAACGCUGGCGGCAGGCUUAACACAUGCAAGUCGAGCGCCCCGCAAGGGGAGCGGCAGACGGGUGAGUAACGCGUGGGAACGUGCCUUUUGGUUCGGAACAACUGAGGGAAACUUCAGCUAAUACCGGAUAAGCCCUGAGGGGGAAAGAUUUAUCGCCAAAAGAUCGGCCCGCGUCAGAUUAGGUAGUUGGGGGGGUAAAGGACUACCAAGCCGAUGAUCUGUAGGUGGGCUGAGAGGAUGAUCACCCACACUGGGACUGAGACACGGCCCAGACUCCUAAGGGAGGCAGCAGUGGGGAAUUAUCCGCAAUGGGCGCAAGCCUGACGGAGCAAUACCGCGUGAGGGAGGAAGGCUUUUGGGUCGUAAACCUCUUUUAUUGGGGAAGAAGCACUGACGGUACCCAAUGAAUCAGCAUCGGCUA